AUGCGUAGAUUGGUUGGACCCCGCUUUGACCCAGUCGUGAGACGAGCCGCAGGAAACAACUAGGUGUCAGCGGAAAACCGGCAGCCAGAGAUUCCAAUAGGCAAGAACGGUCCACACCAGUAUGGGCGCACGGGAGUACUCUCCCCUCAAAGUACGCCACCGGUUAGGUUUAACGUAAGAUGGCUUUGUGUUGUGCGAGAGUGGCAAGAAUCGGGUCAGAUUUCGCCGGGACGCAGCUCGAUUGCCUUUCGUGCAGAGGAACCUUCGACUAGGGUUCGUACGAUGCCCAAAACCUUACAGUCCACAAGAGCUAUUUCGAACAGCACUCUACGAGAAUUGUUGGAGAAUUGGAUGUAA